AACUCGCUAUGUAGCUGGAGCUAUAGGGCCUACAAACAGAACACUGUCAAUAUCUCCAUCAGUGGAACAUCCUGAGAUGAGAAACAUCACUUUUGAUGAGUUGGUCGAGGCGUACACAGAGCAGGCUCGAGGCCUGUUAGAUGGAGGUGCUGAUGUUCUGUUGGUGGAAACUAUUUUUGACACAGCCAAUGCUAAAGCUGCUCUCUUUGCCAUAGAUAAUGUAUUUGAGAUGGGCUACCCACGAGUGCCUGUUUUUGUUUCUGGCACCAUAGUAGAUAAAAGUGGCAGAACGCUGUCAG
rnacentral:sRNA from 1 species